rnacentral:rRNA from 1 species
UCCAGACUCCUACGGGAGGCAGCAGUGGGGAAUAUUGCACAAUGGGGGGAACCCUGAUGCAGCGACGCCGCGUGGGUGAAGGAGCACCUCGGUGCGUAAAGCCCUAUCGGCAGGGAAGAAAAGCGAACAGGUUCGCCUGGACGGUACCUGACUAAGAAGCCCCGGCUAACUACGUGCCAGCAGCCGCGGUAAUACGUAGGGGGCAAGCGUUAUCCGGAAUUACUGGGUGUAAAGGGAGCGUAGACGGUGAUGCAAGUCUGGAGUGAAAGGCGGGGGCCCAACCCCCGGACUGCUCUGGAAACUGUAUGACUUGAGUGCAGGAGAGGUAAGCGGAAUUCCUAGUGUAGCGGUGAAAUGCGUAGAUAUUAGGAGGAACACCAGUGGCGAAGGCGGCUUACUGGACUGUAACUGACGUUGAGGCUCGAAAGCGUGGGGAGCAAACAGGAUUAGAUACCCUUGUAC